CUGGUAGGCAAAUCCGCCGGGCUUAGAUGAGGGGUGAUAACGAGGAGGCUUGCCUCCGAAGUGAGUGAUACCCUGCUUCCAGGAAAAGCCACUAAGCUUCAGCUAUUGACGACCGUACCGCAAACCGACACUGGUGCGCGAGAUGAGUAUUCUAAGGCGCUUGAGAGAACUCAGGAGAAGGAACUCGGCAAAUUGGUACCGUAACUUCGGGAGAAG
rnacentral:rRNA from 1 species